rnacentral:rRNA from 1 species
CGGCGGACGGGUGAGUAACACGUGGAUAACCUACCUAUAAGACUGGGAUAACUUCGGGAAACCAGAGCUAAUACCGGAUAAUAUUUUGAACCGCAUGGUUCAAAAGUAAAAGACGGUCUUGCUGUCACUUAUAGAUGGAUCCGCGCUGCAUUAGCUAGUUGGUAAGGUAACGGCUUACCAAGGCAACGAUGCAUAGCCGACCUGAGAGGGUGAUCGGCCACACUGUAACUGAGACACGGUCCAG